GUGAAUCAGCAGUUCAGCUUCGAAAGGCUGGUAAAGUCACAGUGAGAGAUUCAACCUUGAAAAGAUUAGGUGCUCUCCAUUUCAAAAACCGGUGUCGUGAAUGAGCAUUUUGAGGUUACAAAGUUUGCACUUGUGGAAACCAUAAAAGAAGCAGUACCAGAAAUGUGGUCGCCGGACAUGAAGAAUGCAUGGGGAGUAGCUUAUGAUCAUCUAGUUGCUGCCAUUAAAGCUGAAUGAAACCUUCCUCUUAGAUCAUCUCUACAACUUGUGUAGUACUUUCCUCUGGAGCUCAAAAUGUUUGAUGGAGUGCCACGUCAUCAGUCCAGUGUUUCUGCGUGCAUGUCAUUGAGCUAGUGUUUGGAUCGUUGUGUUUGCAAUAUUCUGUUGCAUAAACCUGCUUAUUACAUAGCCAUUAAUGUUGCUUUUGUACCAGUUUGGAAAGGAUCUUAGCUUUUAAGAAUAAUUGGAGUUAAUAAAUUAAAGAUAUAAUUUCUGUCAGUGAUGGCUUUUAGUAAAGCUACUUUUGGCUCCUUGUAUUUGACACAAGUAUUUAGUUAUACUAAUACAAUCAUAAUCUCUGUUGAAAUA